UACGUAGGGGGCUAGCGUUGUCCGGAAUCAUUGGGCGUAAAGCGCGUGUAGGCGGUUUGGUAAGUCCGCUGUGAAAGUCGGGGGCUCAACCCUCGAAAGCCGGUGGAUACUGUCGGGCUAGAGUACGGAAGAGGCGAGUGGAAUUCCUGGUGUAGCGGUGAAAUGCGCAGAUAUCAGGAAGAACACCUAUGGCGAAGGCAGCUCUCUGGGACGGUACUGACGCUGAGACGCGAAAGCGUGGGGAGCGAACAGG
rnacentral:rRNA from 1 species